rnacentral:lncRNA from 1 species
CACGGGUGGCUGAUACAGCACGCUUGCCAUUGAUUGUAUUAUACAUACAAUUUAUCUGUAUUUACUACUAAGUAUAUAAUAAAGACAGAUAAAGACCAGCUUUGAAAGUUUUAUUGUAACUGAAACAAAUAAUACAUGCAUUAGGAAUGUAGUACGCCCUGAGUUAAAAAAAAUUAUACAAGCAAAAACUUUCAAUAAUAAAAACUGUCAUAACAGAACAUUUAAACAAAUCGUUUUACCCAAAGCAUUUAUUCUUUGAUAUAAAAUGAAGUCAUUAUUCCAAUAUGCCAUUUGAAGCUUGUGUCCAUAAAUAAUAAAUAAAUUUCAGAUUUGUUGAAUCAACAAAUAAAAAUAAUAAUAAUUAUAACAUUGAAAAGAAGAGAAGGCAAGAAAAAUACAAAAAGAACAUAAAAACAGAAGUUUGAUUCCUGCUCAAGUAUCACAAUCUGGACUUGGUCAAUCGGCCAAAUUUGUAGAUAUUGUUACGACUUGGUCAAUAGGCCAAAUUUAUAGAUAUUUUUAUGACCAGUGCAAGAGUAUAAAAAAUUCCUAUUGCAUUUUGUCACAACAGAAGUAAUUCAUUAAUAUCCUAGAAAUGUUAAAAGAGAUAUGAUCUACCAUUUUUUAAAUGUUUUUUUUUAAGACUGAAAGUGAAUGCAUUGCAAAACUAGAUCAAAAUAACACAUCUAUGUAGACAGGACAAUUGAAAACAGUGGGAAACUGUUUCUGAAUAUUUGUAGGUAAUAAGAUUUAUUGAUUAUGUCAAAAAAUGCUACUCAUGAAAGCAAUCUUGGCCCAUUAAGCUCAGUUGGAUGACAUAAAUUUAAAAAAAUAUAAAUAAAAAAGAUUCUAAUAUAAGGCAGUUUGAUUUCACUAAAUAGAAAUAUUACAUCAUGGAUUUCCUUCAACUAGGUACUAAAACAUAUCCAUUUAAGCCAAUUAAAGUGAAAGAAAAAAAACUUGAAUAGUUACUUGGCAAGUUUUUUGUUGAUUUUUUUCAAAAAAAAAAUUUGUCUUUUACAUACAAGUUAUUUAUUUUUUUGCAUGGUCCUUAAUAGUUUAUUGGAUAUAAAUAGGAUUUUUGGUAGAUCAUAUCUUUUUAGACAAAACCAGGUGUGUCCCUUUAAAUAAGAAAACUUUGGUAAAGCAAAUAAUCAUAUAUUAAAGAUAUACAGUUUAAAUCAAACAAAUACCAAUAU